rnacentral:lncRNA from 12 species
CCUGGCAUCCCGGCCGCUGGGCGCGGCGGCGCGCAUGCGCAGCCCCUCGGGCCGGCCCCGGCGCACCUUUUCUCCCCGCUGCCACAAUGACCCUAGGACUUGCCCUUGUGUAUCUGAAGCUUUGGUGACCAGUACUUUGGAAGGCCUUGGGCCACAGGGCUGAGGGCGGCCGACAAGCAAGAGGGUGGAAUUUGCAGUGUCUGUCUCGUCUGGGUGAGACAGUUGGAAGACGUUUCUACCAAUUAUAGUGGUUAAACACUGACUCAACAGCCAACAACCUCAUGAGGUGUCAGAGCCUUCAUUCAUGGACAAGUUUCAAAAUGAGACAGGAUAGCACAACCCAUCAUGGGCAGUGCCGUCAGAGAAGAGAGGAGAGUGGAUUUCACACACAACAAGCAAGAUACACUCUGCUCUGUGAAGAAUCCAGGCCGGAGUACAAGAGAUCUAUGAAGCUGCCGUGGAAGUCCAGCCCAGACGCUCGGGCCCUGGGUGGCCAUCCAGUCUGACCACACACACCCCAUUCUACUUUCAGCAUUGGUGUCUGUCCUCCCUGAGAGUUCAUGGGCUCCCCCAGGGCAGGAGGCAUCCUAGUCACAUCAGAGCCAGCUCAGUACCUGUCACAGUGCCUGGUACACAGCUGCCGUUCAGUAAAUGUUUGCUCAAUAAAUCAACUAUAAACUUGGAAAUAGUUCCCUUA